UGGAUCCAGACUUUGAUCAUGGCUCAGGAUGAACGCUAGCUACAGGCUUAACACAUGCAAGUCGAGGGGCAGCAUGACGAUAGCUUGCUAUCGUUGAUGGCGACCGGCGCACGGGUGAGUAACGCGUAUCCAACCUGCCCUUGUCCAUCGGAUAACCCGUCGAAAGGCGGCCUAACACGAUAUGCAGUUCUCAGCAGGCAUCUAACGAGAACGAAAUGUAAAGGAGAAGGAUGGGGAUGCGUCUGAUUAGCUUGUUGGCGGGGUAACGGCCCACCAAGGCGACGAUCAGUAGGGGUUCUGAGAGGAAGGUCCCCCACAUUGGAACUGAGACACGGUCCAAACUCCUACGGGAGGCGGCAGUGAGGAAUAUUGGUCAAUGGGCGAGAGCCUGAACCAGCCAAGUAGCGUGCAGGAUGACGGCCCUAUGGGUUGUAAACUGCUUUUAUGCGGGGAUAAAGUGAGCCACGUGUGGCUUAUUGCAGGUACCGCAUGAAUAAGGACCGGCUAAUUCCGUGCCAGCAGCCGCGGUAAUACGGAAGGUCCGGGCGUUAUCCGGAUUUAUUGGGUUUAAAGGGAGCGUAGGCCGUCUGAUAAGCGUGUUGUGAAAUGUCGGGGCUCAACCUGGGCAUUGCAGCGCGAACUGUGAGACUUGAGUGCGCGGGAAGUAGGCGGAAUUCGUCGUGUAGCGGUGAAAUGCUUAGAUAUGACGAAGAACUCCGAUUGCGAAGGCAGCCUGCUGUAGCGCAACUGACGCUGAAGCUCGAAAGCGUGGGUAUCGAACAGGAUUAGAUACCCUGGUAGUCCACGCGGUAAACGAUGGAUGCUCGCUGUUUGCGCCUGACGUAAGCGGCCAAGCGAAAGCGUUAAGCAUCCCACCUGGGGAGUACGCCGGCAACGGUGCAACUCAAAGGAAUUGACGGAA
rnacentral:rRNA from 1 species